rnacentral:rRNA from 1 species
ACAGCAGUCGCCACGGGAAUCCGUAGGUCCCGAGCGUUGUCCGGAUUUAUUGGGCGUAAAGCGAGCGCAGGCGGUUAGAUAAGUCUGAAGUUAAAGGCUGUGGCUUAACCAUAGUACGCUUUGGAAACUGUUUAACUUGAGUGCAAGAGGGGAGAGUGGAAUUCCAUGUGUAGCGGUGAAAUGCGUAGAUAUAUGGAGGAACACCGGUGGCGAAAGCGGCUCUCUGGCUUGUAACUGACGCUGAGGCUCGAAAGCGUGGGGAGCAAACAGGAUUAGAUACCCCUGUAGUCCCUGUCUCUUAUACA